ACGAACGCUGGCGGCGUGCUUCAUACAUGCAAGUCGAGCGGAAAGGCCCUUCGGGGUACUCGAGCGGCGAACGGGUGAGUAACACGUGAGCAACCUGCCUUCAGCUCUGGGAUAACACUUGGAAACAGGUGCUAAUACCGGAUAUGACCUCGUUAGGCAUCUUUCGAGGUGGAAAGUUUUUCGGCUGAAGAUGGGCUCGCGGCCUAUCAGCUUGUUGGCGGGGUAACGGCCCACCAAGGCGACGACGGGUAGCCG
rnacentral:rRNA from 1 species